GAGAGCGGUGAGCGCUCCCCCCGGGGCGGGGUCCAGCCGCCUGCCUCCCUCAGGGGCAGGAUGGAGAGCAGCCGUAGCGCUGACGAUGACAUAAACUGUCUGGUUCAUCCCUGGUGCUCCAUGAAUGGCCACUGGUCCCACAUUAGUAUGUGGGUACUGUGAUUGAAGAAUAUGAAGUCCUUAGUUAUAGUGUUUGUAACCCAGUUUGACAUUAUUUAAAUAAAUUUCUUCUGGAUGAGACA
rnacentral:lncRNA from 1 species